GCACCUGCCUCAUCACUCGGAUCGUUCGGCACGUACCUGCCGAUGGAGGAAAUUCU
rnacentral:ncRNA from 1 species